GUACAUGUGUUUUAUUUCUUUUUAGCUACUGUGGAUGUUAAUCGGAAUAUUUUUAAAUAGCUGCUUUUUAACACUUUUUAUCAAUAAUUUCUGUGUUUUGUAUUUUUAGAGGUUUCCUUACAAUCAAGCGAUAUCGGAAUUGUUAACGUAAGGUUGUAGGGUUCAUUCUUCAGCCCAACGCCCCCUGUGCUAUGGAACUAAGGAAGGCUUGAGCUGGAAGCUGUGGAAGCUGAACCGAGUGUGUUGCAGACAGAAAAAUCCUGCUUUCAGGCAAAGGCAAGCCAGGAUCCUAGUAUCCAUCCCAAGCCUGGCUGAUCAGGGGCAGUUCACAGUCCUGCCAGCACAGACACUUCCUACUGCCUGCCAACCAGAGAGCUGGUGUUGCAUAGUGUCGUUCCCUCCUGUGGAUUGGGCCCUGAAGCCUGAUCAUCCACAGCCCCAGGUAGCUUAGCUUAGUAUCCUGAGACCACAAGGUUCCUGGUUCACCUGCCGUGGCCUAUUCUACUUGAUGAUGAGUUAGCUCCAAGCAAAUUCAUUUGUAUUGCAAACCGGUGCUACAAUCCUUUGUUUCCAAUAAGGGAAUCUGGAAAACUUAAGUUGGAGCUACCAUUGCUGCUCUACUGUCCUCUUCUGAAAUUGGCAUGAAGAGCAGUUGCCAUCGCAAGCACCACAGCAUCGCCUGGAGCGUGGCUCUGGGGAGCCAGUGUAGCAAUUUGUUUGGAACAAUCGCCAACAGCAAAAGUUUCCUCCCCUCUCCCUCUUGGCUGCUCUGAGUGGCGGUGUGAAGAUGGAUUGCCUGGCAUUCUGUGCCAGGGGAACACUUCCUGAUUCGUAUGCACAACGUGGCAUCGAGAGCCGCCUUCAUCAGUCAUGGGGAAAAUGAAUCGUGACGUCAGCCACGCGCAGCUCCUCGGCCGACACAAUGGCAGAGCCUCAGCUGCCUCUUGAAAAAUCAUUCUUCAGGCUUCUUACUGGAGAAAUGAAGUAAUUAAUAAAUUGACAAUAAACCCACUAUCUUGGCUAAGCAGAGGUGGGGGGCGGGCAGGCAAAAGCUGCCUUGGAAAUUGACUGGGGGUGGGGGGAGCCUGCCCAUCAGGCAGCAGAUUCCCAAAAUGUCCAUUGAUGAUAAACUGAAUUCAAUAAAUAUAGAAAUAGACCUUUUCCAGCUUUAUGAGGAAAGCUGCUGGGGGGGGGCACAUCAGUCUAUAUAUAUCAAUCGCUUCCGAACGUUUUAUCUAAAGACGAGGUGAGACUUUGAAAGGAGGGGGCUCAAAAGGGGGACUCUCCCCGCACACUCCCCACUUCAGAUUACUGCCUAGAAUCUUGACCAGGAUCACUCCAUGCUGCAACAUUUUGUUGCACACCCUUUUCUUUAAAAGCCAUCUUUAUCUAGGUGCCACCGUCACCCCAUGCCGCUCUGUUGCGGCUUACGCAGAGAAGAAGGUGGGAAGGUACCAGUUAUUGCCAAGCUUAAAUCUGCUCAGCUUGGUAAAGCAAGUUGAGCCUCACUCCCGGCAGCAUCCUCUGUCAGCAAGCAGCAAGAACCUGUAGGGAGGAGGUAACCACAAAUUGAUCAUUUAGGAGUGUCACAUGUCUAUUAGUCGCUUCCAUCUCCAGAGGCAUCAAUUGCUGUAGAGAGUUGAUUCAGUUUCUGCUCUGAUGUGGUACCUACAGGUAGAGGCACCCUUAUUUCUGCUUCCUUCCUGAUCCCUUGCUCUGGGUAUUUGAAAGACAGUGUCACAUUUUGUGUUCCUUCUUAGAAUGAUCCUCUCCACGAAGGGGGUGGCAGGGGCUGGAAAGCCGUAGCUUCAUCUCCAGACGACUAAAGCCUUCUUUUUAUUCCCCCUUGCAUAUUUUUUCUAUACCGAGAGGAGAGGGGAUAGGGAGUAGGAUGGGGGACAGAUUGCAGAAAGCCUUUAAUUCCUGCUUGUUUUGUACUUUUCAUCUCUUCUUGGGGUCAGCACUGGGAGCAAAUUUAAUCCGGCAAAAUGGCCAACCUUCCCCCCAUGUUUAGGAGGAAGCUUCCUUUUGUAGCUUCUCUGCUGUGCCUGGAUGAGUUUAAGAGCCAGGUUUUUUGCUACAGAAGUACACUCUGCUUAUGGAGCUUAAUGCCCAUUUUCAGAGUCAGGCCACAACAUGGUUUUGUAGACAGAGAAGCCACCCAAAGUGCUGGCUGAUCCGCAAGUUGGGAGCCGGGGCCACAGAUUAAUUUAAGCCUCAGUUGCUUCCUGGAAUCCAUUUGGUGGAAGAGGAGGAUAAGGGUCCACAGCAGCAAAGCUGAGCUCCAGAAAAAGCUGCCAGCUCAAAUUAAAUCCCUGACAUGGGCUGCAGCACAGAGAGCAGAAGGUGGCAGAUUCCAGGGAUCUUGCUGAGUCUUCAAGCUGGAGUGAGUAGGUUUGGAAAUAAUGAGUUUUUAAGGAGCUGGUCCAUUUGAAUCUUGGCUUGACUCGUAGAUCAGUCUGGCCCCUUCCAAACUGCUCAGUCCCUUUCCCAAAGUCUGCAGUCUUUCCUAAUAUUGUUUUAAAUUGUUCUACACACCCUGUUUGACUGAGUGGCUUCUAGGUUCUUCUGAAUAAAGAUAUAACAUGAAAUACAUCUUGCUUCCAUUGCUGGACUCUGUUAGAGCUGCUGGAGCCAGCACAAGACAUUUUGCUGUCUGAGGCAGGAUCGCAAAUGAGCCCCUCCCCCCCAGACAGAAAAUCCCAUGUCUGGCUUUCCCAGGGAGUAAAAAUAUAACAAAGAACUCACAGUUGGCUGUUCUUUUGUGACACUCUGAACCAGCUGCCUUAAGGCAGCUGCCUCCCUUUGCCUAAUGACCUGACCAGCCACAACAAUUGUAUGGCUUGGGCCCAGAAUACCUGACCGGGUGCUAAGAUCCUCAGAUGAGCUCCUUCUCUCAGUCCCUUCAACAUCAGAAGCACAGUUGGUGGUGACAUGAGAGGGACCCUUUUCUGUGUUAAAACCGUGUUUAUGGAAGACAAUCUUACUUGGCUACGAGUGAUCGCCAAAGAAGAAUUGCGGAAUUCCCUCCCAAGAGAGGUUAGAGACUAACUAAGACCUUCCUCUUCAGACAGGUCUUUGGAAAGUAAGGUGCAGGUGAUGCUGAUCGCGGGGCUACUCUCAGAGCAAACUGCAUUUUGAAUGCUGGUUCUAAAUGUACUCUGAUGUGUUUUAUAUAGUGUUUUUAACUAGUUUGCAUUUUAUAAUGUUUUUACAACAGGGGCCAAAUGCCCUCGAUGGAAAAUUUGUAUCAUUUUCCUGACUUAUAAUAAAAGGGGAUAGGAAUGAUCCACAAAACUAUCAGCCACUCAGCUUGUUAGACAUCUCCUCAAAGUUAUAAGCACGGCAUCUCCUUCAAAAUCUAUCAGACUGGUUGCAAAGUAACAACAUUAUCCACGAGGAACAAGCAGGAUUCAGAGGAGGACACAGUUCCAUUGAUCAGUAUUUUGCUCUGAAAGAAAAUAUACUAAGAAUAUUAAGGAUAAUUCUUAUGUGGCCUUUAUUGAUCGUUCAGCUGCUUUCGACUGUUAAUUGGAAUAGACUGUGGGAGACAUUUCAAAUUGCCAGCAUUGACCGUAAACCUCUGCUGUUGAUCCAAGAACCAUACAGCAACACAGAAAUGAGAGUCAGAGUAGGUUUAAAUGGUGGUAUGACUGAUGCUUUAAAAUGCCACGAGGAGCGAAGCAAGGUUGCAUUCUGGCUCCCACUCUCUUUAACUUUUAUAUUAACGAUUUGGUGUCAUAUUUUGCCAAUGCAAACUCCCCCUCUGCAGCAAUUAGGAGCAGAAAUAUCUCAAUCUCGAUGUAAGCAAACGAUUCAGUGCUCCUCUCUCUCUCUCAAUUGGGCCGCAAAAAUCUGUUGGAGGUAUUACUACCUACUGUAAACAGGAAAGCCUAUCUAUAAAUUACUCUUAAGAACAAGAUGGUGAUUUUCAGCGGACACAGUCCUAGGAUGGUGUUCGAAUCAGCAGGCUGCUGAACAAACUUGCUCAUUUAGAUACCUGGCUGUACUCUUUAAUGAAACCCUCUCUUGCAAGUGUCAAAUGGAGGUGGUGAAACAGAAAACCAUAGGGGCAUUGAUGAAGCUCUAUUAAGAUAAGGAAGGGCAGCUAAUGAACCUUUGGUAGCAAAGUGCUUACUCAAAUGCUCUGCGGCGUUGAAAUCUGGAACUCAGAUUCAAACUCCAUUAAAGUUUUGGAAACUGUUCAGAUUAUUAUUUUUCUGGAAGCUCUAACAUCAGAAAUAUCAGCAGCUCCUCUUCGUACAGAAUCUGGAUGGCCAACAAUUAAGGCAAGAGUGGACUGCGCUCAGUUAAAGUAUAUUUUAAAAAUUGCUACUAUGCCUAUUGAAAGUUUUCCUGCUCUCUACUAUAUGGAAUUGGAUGAUAGCCAACUCUGGAAAGCAGCUUGUCAAGAUGUUUUAGACUGUUAUUACCAGUAUUUUCCAGAACUGAGCUCUGCUUUAACCUUGAAUAAGUGUCAGCUAAGGGAUUGGCUCUUCUGGCAGAAUCCAGAAGGGACCUGCAACUAAUUAGAAACACCAGAUUUCUCCCUUGGUAUCUACUCUUGAGAACAGAGCAUUUUAGAGCUAGUUAUCUGACCAACCAAACUUUCACCAGCUUCCUUAAGAAAUGCCUUUAUUAAAUUGCACUUCUUUUUAAAUAAGAUUUAAUUGAAGUUUUUUCAUAAUACAAGAAAAGAAAAGAAACUAAUCU